rnacentral:rRNA from 1 species
UACGUAGGGUGCAAGCGUUGUCCGGCAUUAUUGGGCGUAAAGAGCUCGUAGGCGGUCUGUCGCGUCGGCUGUGAAAACUCGGGGCUCAACUCCGAGCUUGCAGUCGAUACGGGCAGGCUAGAGUUCGGCAGGGGAGACUGGAAUUCCUGGUGUAGCGGUGAAAUGCGCAGAUAUCAGGAGGAACACCGGUGGCGAAGGCGGGUCUCUGGGCCGAUACUGACGCUGAGGAGCGAAAGCGUGGGGAGCGAACAGG